rnacentral:rRNA from 1 species
CCACAAGGGGUGAAGCCUGCGGUUCAAUUGGAGUCAACGCCAGGAAACUUACCAGGAGAGACAGCAGGUUGAGGGUCAGUCUGAAGAACUUACCUGACGAGCUGAGAGGAGGUGCAUGGCCGUCGCCAGCUCGUGCCGUGAGGCGUCCUGUUAAGUCAGGCAACGAGCGAGACCCCUAUCGGUAAUUGCUAACUGCUCAGAGAUGGGCAGAGGCUAGUUACAGAGACUGCCGUUGAUAAAACGGAGGAAGGAAGGGGCCACGGCAGGUCAGUAUGCCCCGAAACUCCUGGGCCACACGCGGGCUGCAAUGGUAGGGACAAUAGGUUCCGACCUCGAAAGAGGAAGGCAAUCCCCAAACCCUACCCCAGUUGUGAUCGAGGAUUGAAACCCGUCCUCGUGAAUAUGGAAUCCCUAGUAACCGCGUGUCAUCACCGCGCGGUGAAUACGUCCCUGCUCCUUGU